CCAUCUGUAUCACCAGAUGACCCUAGGAUCCUGAAUAAAGCAGCGGAUCCGACAAUGUAACGAAGUCC
rfam:Enterovibrio nigricans DSM 22720 genome assembly, contig: BP91DRAFT_scaffold00217.217